GAGGGAAUCUUCGGCAAUGGGGGCAACCCUGACCGAGCAACGCCGCAUGAGUGAAGCAGGUUUUCGGAUAGUAAAGCUCUGUUGUAAGAGAAAAACGCGUGUGAGAGUGGAAAGUUCACACAGUGACGGUAAAUUACCAGAAAGGGACGGCUAACUACGUGCCAGCAGCCGCGGUAAUACGUAGGUCCCGAGCGUUGUCCGGUUUUAUUGGGCGUAAAGCGAGCGCAGGCGGUUUAAUAAGUCUGAAGUUAAAGGCAGUGGCUUAACCAUUGUGCGCUUUCGUAAAUGUUAAACUUGAGUGCAGAAGGGGAGAGUGGAAUUCCAUGUGUAGCGGUGAAAUGCGUAGAUAUAUGUGGGAACACCGGUGGCGAAAACGGCUCUCUGGUGUGUAACUGACGCUGAGGCUCGAAAGCGUGGGGGGCAAACAGG
rnacentral:rRNA from 1 species